AUACGUAGGGGGCGAGCGUUGUCCGGAAUGAUUGGGCGUAAAGGGCGCGUAGGCGGCGCGGUAAGUCUGGAGUGAAAGUCCUGCUUUCAAGGUGGGAAUUGCUUUGGAUACUGCCGCGCUUGAGUGCAGGAGAGGUUAUCGGAAUUCCCGGUGUAGCGGUGAAAUGCGUAGAGAUCGGGAGGAACACCAGUGGCGAAGGCGGGUAACUGGACUGCAACUGUCGCUGAGGCGCGAAAGUGUGGGGAGCAAACAGGAUUAGAUACCCUGGUAGUCCACACUGUAAACGAUGAAUGCUAGGUGUAAGAGGUAUCGACCCCUUUUGUGCCGGAGUCAACACAAUAAGCAUUCCGCCUGGGGAGUACGGCCGCAAGGUUGAAACUCAAAUGAAUUGACGGGG
rnacentral:rRNA from 1 species